rnacentral:rRNA from 1 species
AUUGAACGCUGGCGGAAUGCUUUACACAUGCAAGUCGAACGGCAGCACGGACUUCGGUCUGGUGGCGAGUGGCGAACGGGUGAGUAAUACAUCGGAACGUGCCCAGUCGUGGGGGAUAACGUAGCGAAAGCUACGCUAAUACCGCAUACGAUCUAAGGAUGAAAGCGGGGGAUCGCAAGACCUCGCGCGAUUGGAGCGGCCGAUGGCAGAUUAGGUAGUUGGUGGGGUAAAGGCCUACCAAGCCGACGAUCUGUAGCUGGUCUGAGAGGACGACCAGCCACACUGGGGCUGAGACACGGCCCAGACUCCUACGGGAGGCAGCAGUGGAGAAUGUUGGGCAAUGGGGGAAAGCAUGAUCCAGCCAUUCCGCGUGCAGGAUGAAGGCCCUCGGGUUGUAAACUGCUUUUGUACAGAACGAAAAGGCUCUGGUUAAUACCUGGGGCUCAUGACGGUACUGUAAGAAUAAGCACCGGCUAACUACGUGCCAGCCGCCGCCGUAAGAC